rnacentral:rRNA from 1 species
UACGUAGGGUGCAAGCGUUAUCCGGAAUUAUUGGGCGUAAAGAGCUCGUAGGCGGUUUGUUGCGUCUGCUGUGAAAACCCGAGGCUCAACCUCGGGCCUGCAGUGGGUACGGGCAGACUAGAGUGCGGUAGGGGAGAUUGGAAUUCCUGGUGUGGCGGUGGAAUGCGCAGAUAUCAGGAGGAACACCGAUGGCGAAGGCAGAUCUCUGGGCCGUAACUGACGCUGAGGAGCGAAAGCAUGGGGAGCGAACAGG